rnacentral:rRNA from 1 species
GAGGAAUAUUGGUCAAUGGGCGAGAGCCUGAUGCAGCAACGCCGCGUGAGUGAUGACGGUCUUCGGAUUGUAAAGCUCUGUCUUUUGGGACGAUAAUGACGGUACCAAAGGAGAAAGCCACGGCUAACUACGUGCCAGCAGCCGCGGUAAUACGUAGGUGGCAAGCGUUGUCCGGAUUUACUGGGCGUAAAGGAUGUGUAGGCGGAUACUUAAGUGAGAUGUGAAAGCCCCGGGCUCAACCUGGGGACUGCAUUUCAAACUGGGUAUCUAGAGUGCAGUAGAGGAAAGCGGAAUUCCUGGUGUAGCGGUGAAAUGCGUAGAGAUUAGGAAGAACAUCAGUGGCGAAGGCGGCUUUCUGGACUGUAACUGACGCUGAGGCAUGAAAGCGUGGGGAGCAAAC